rnacentral:rRNA from 1 species
AUUGAACGCUGGCGGCAUGCUUUACACAUGCAAGUCGAACGGCAGCACGGACUUCGGUCUGGUGGCGAGUGGCGAACGGGUGAGUAAUGCAUCGGAAUGUACCGUGUAAUGGGGGAUAACUAGCCGAAAGGAUAGCUAAUACCGCAUACGCCCCGAGGGGGAAAGCAGGGGAUCUUCGGACCUUGCGUUAUACGAGCAGCCGAUGUCCGAUUAGCUAGUUGGUAGGGUAAAGGCCUACCAAGGCGACGAUCGGUAGCGGGUCUGAGAGGACGAUCCGCAACACUGGAACUGGGACACGGUCCAGACUCCUACGGGAGGCAGCAGUGGGGAAUUUUGGACAAUGGGCGAAAGCCUGAUCCAGCAAUGCCGCGUGAGUGAAGAAGGCCCUUGGGUUGUAAUGCUCUUUCGGUCGGGAAGAAGGAAGAAUGGCUAAUAUCCAUUCUGACAGACGGUACCGGCAUAAGAAGCACCGGCUAACUACGUGCCAGCCGCCGCCGUAAGAC